rnacentral:rRNA from 1 species
UCAGGAUGAACGCUAGCUACAGGCUUAACACAUGCAAGUCGAGGGGCAGCAUAACGAAAGCUUGCUUUGUUGAUGGCGACCGGCGCACGGGUGAGUAACGCGUAUCCAACCUUCCCCAUAGUAGAGAAUAGCCCGGCGAAAGUCGGAUUAAUGCUCUAUGUUGUAUCAUGAGGACAUCUGAAUAAUACCAAAGGUUUACCGCUAUGGGAUGGGGAUGCGUCUGAUUAGGUUGUUGGCGGGGUAACGGCCCACCAAGCCCACGAUCAGUAGGGGUUCUGAGAGGAAGGUCCCCCACAUUGGAACUGAGACACGGUCCAAACUCCUACGGGAGGCAGCAGUGAGGAAUAUUGGUCAAUGGACGGAAGUCUGAACCAGCCAAGUAGCGUGCAGGAUGACGGCCCUAUGGGUUGUAAACUGCUUUUAUACAGGGAUAAAGUGAGGGACGUGUCCCUUUUUGUAGGUACUGUAUGAAUAAGGACCGGCUAAUUCCGUGCCAGCCGCUGC